rnacentral:rRNA from 1 species
CCCUUAGAUGUUCUGGGCCGCACACGCGCUACACUGAAGGAGGCAGCGUGUACUCCUGGAUCGAAAGAUUUGGGUAACCCGCGAAUCUCCUUCGUGCUAGGGAUUGAGGUUUGCAAUUAUCCUUCAUGAACGAGGAAUUCCCAGUAAGUGCAAGUCAUGAGCUUGCGCUGACUACGUCCCUGCCCUUUGUACACACCGCCCGUCGCUACUACCGAUUGAAUGAUUUAGUGAGGACUUCGGACUGGGACCGAUGCGGCUUUCGGGCUGCGUCGGUAUUCUGGAAAGAUGUCCAAACUGUAUCAUUUAGAGGAAGUAAAANUCGUAACA